UGAGUAACUCUACCUGUAGCUCUUCUAGAGUUACUGCCGGUCCCAAGCCCGGGUAAAGGAGGAGGAUUGA
rnacentral:ribozyme from 2 species